rnacentral:rRNA from 1 species
UGGGGAAUAUUGCACAAUGGGCGCAAGCCUGAUGCAGCAACGCCGCGUGAACGAUGAAGGUCUUCGGAUCGUAAAGUUCUGUUGCAGGGGAAGAUAAUGACGGUACCCUGUGAGGAAGCCCCGGCUAACUACGUGCCAGCAGCCGCGGUAAUACGUAGGGGGCUAGCGUUAUCCGGAUUUACUGGGCGUAAAGGGUGCGUAGGUGGUCUUUCAAGUCGGUGGUUAAAGGCUACGGCUCAACCGUAGUUAGCCUCCGAAACUGGAAGACUUGAGUGCAGGAGAGGAAAGUGGAAUUCCCAGUGUAGCGGUGAAAUGCGUAGAUAUUGGGAGGAAUACCGGUGGCGAAGGCGACUUUCUGGACUUGAACUGACGCUGAGGCACGAAAGCGUGGGGAGCAAACAGG